UACAGAGGGUGCAAGCGUUAAUCGGAAUUACUGGGCGUAAAGCGUGCGUAGACGGUAGCGUAAGUCGGGUGUGAAAGCCCCGGGCUCAACCUGGGAAUUGCAUUCGAGACUGCUCUGCUAGGGUGCGGAAGAGGGAAGCGGAACUUCCGGUGUAGCGGUGAAAUGCGUAGAUAUCGGAAAGAACACCAGUGGCGAAAGCGGCUUCCUGGUCCAGCACCGACGUUCAGGCACGAAAGCGUGGGGAGCAAACAGG
rnacentral:misc_RNA from 1 species